AACGAACGCUGGCGGCAUGCCUAACACAUGCAAGUCGAACGAGACCUUCGGGUCUAGUGGCGCACGGGUGCGUAACGCGUGGGAACCUGCCCUUAGGUUCGGAAUAACUCCCCGAAAGGGGUGCUAAUACCGGAUAAUGUCUUCGGACCAAAGAUUUAUCGCCUUUGGAUGGGCCCGCGUUGGAUUAGCUAGUUGGUAGGGUAAAAGCCUACCAAGGCGACGAUCCAUAGCUGGUCUGAGAGGAUGAUCAGCCAGACUGGGACUGAGACACGGCCCAGACUCCUACGGGAGGGAGGAGGGGGGAAUAUUGGACGAUGGGCGAAAGCCUGAUCCAGCAAUGCCGCGGGAGUGAGGAAGGCCGUAGGGUUGUAAAGCUCUUUUACCCGGGAUGAUAAUGACAGUACCGGGAGAAUAAGCUCCGGCUAACUCCGUG
rnacentral:rRNA from 1 species